rnacentral:lncRNA from 1 species
AAGAUGUUCAUACAUGACAUCAAUACAAAGAUAUGAAAGCAUGAUCAUAACAAUAUCAAGCAUGGUAUGUAAACACAUAUGUAUAACAUGCGAACAUGAAUAAAUAUACAACAACAUUAAUCAAAAGAUGUAAAAAGUUAACAUGAAUAUGAAUGACAUGGAUAUAUCAUCAUGAAGAAACAAAUAUGAAUGGCAUAACAAUGCAUGAACAUGUAUAUGGAUGUCCUAAUAAGUUUGAAUCAAC